AUUCCAUGGUGAGGGCACUCCCUUUGAUAUUCCUUGAAUCGAUCCCAUGCUUCAAAUAGGAAUUCAUCCCUCUUUUGCUCAAAGGAUUUAAUCUUGAGCCU
rnacentral:snoRNA from 1 species